rnacentral:rRNA from 1 species
ACGGUCCUAAGGUAGCGAAAUUCCUUGUCGGGUAAGUUCCGACCCGCACGAAAGGUGUAACGAUUUGGGCACUGUCUCAACGAGGGACCCGGUGAAAUUGAAAUAUCUGUGAAGAUGCAGGUUACCCGCGACUGGACAGAAAGACCCCAUGGAGCUUUACUGUAACCUGACAUUGGGUUUUGAUACAUUACGUACAGGAUAGGUGGGAGGCAUGGAAAGCUGGACGCUAGUCUGGCUGGAGCCGACGUUGGGAUACCACCCUUGAUGUAUUGAAAUUCUAACCGCGAGAGUAACGAAAUCCGGGACAGUGUCAGGCGGGCAGUUUGACUGGGGCGGUCGCCUCCGAAAGAGUAACGGAGGCGCCCAAAGGUUCCCUCAGCGCGGCCGGAAAUCGCGCGAAGAGUGUAAAGGCAGAAGGGAGCUUGACUGCGAGUCAAACACGACGAGCAGGUACGAAAGUAGGGCUUAGUGAUCCGGUGGUACCGAGUGGAAGGGCCAUCGCUCAACGGAUAAAAGCUACCCUGGGGAUAACAGGCUAAUCUCUCCCAAGAGUCCAUAUCGACGGGGAGGUUUGGCACCUCGAUGUCGGCUCAUCACAUCCUGGGGCUGAAGUCGGUCCCAAGGGUUGGGCUGUUCGCCCAUUAAAGUGGUACGUGAGCUGGGUUCAGAACGUCGUGAGACAGUUCGGUCCCUAUCCAUCGCGGGCGCAAGAGAUUUGAAGGGGGCUGCUCCUAGUACGAGAGGACCGGAGUGGACGAACCGCUGGUGUACCAAUUAUCCCGCCAGGGGUACAGUUGGGUAGCUACGUUCGGAAAGGAUAAACGCUGAAAGCAUCUAAGCGUGAAACCAGCCUUAAGAUGAGAUCUCUCAUAGAGCAAUCUAGUAAGACACCUUAAAGAAGAUGAGGUUGAUAGGUCGGGAGUGUAAGUACAGCAAUGUAUUGAGCGGACCGAUACUAAUAUGUCGAGGGCUUGACUUA